ACAUAUGCAGUGAGCAGCAGUCCUUUGAGUAAAAAUGCCUUGUUGAUGUCAGAGGAGAAUGGCGAGACUGCUUCAAGAUAAUAGGAAAGCAGAAAUAACUCAAAUAACCACUCAUAUCAACCAAGGUGUGUAGAAAGACAUCUCUGAAUAACACAUUGAAUCCUGUAGCAGAUGGUCUACAACAGCAGAAGACUACAUCAGGUCCCACUCCUGUCAACUAAGACAGCACAGGCUCACCAAAAUUGGAAAUUAGAAGACUGGAAAAACAAUAUGAGCAACAUUCAGAAGGGAAGCACGUUUUCUUUCUGGCUGCUUCUCUGUGGUCUGACCAGAACUAACUCAUCCUUAUUCUAGAAAGUGAACCACAACAUGUGGCAACAGAGCCCACAAACAUGAGCUCAUUCCUCUUGAGGGGAAACUAGCAACUGAAAAAAACAGAGAUAGAAAGAGAGAAAGUCCCAGUGUUCCUCUCCACAUCCAUUUGUCUUUGGACUA